GUGACUAAGAAAGUUUUCCUUCUUUUUUUUUAACAAGUAAACUUAAACAUGUUUAUCUGGUGGAUUGUGUGUUUGUGACUGUGUGUAGAACGUAUGUGGCUUGAACACAUGUAUUUCCUUUCUCCUAAUCUAUUUGAAGUAUGCAACAUCAUCCUAAAGAGAGUUUCUAUGAAGGCAAAAUUAAUCUGAAUUUUAACUUUUCUCUCCAUGACUUUGAUCCCUAUAGCACAACUGACUUCAACAGUAGUUUCAAGAUAAACUUAUAGUGUUAAACCCUUCUUGACGGUGACCCUGUCAAAUCUCUUGCAGUUUCUCAGAGCUCCUGUGCUUUCUCCUGAUCUUCACACUUUGCAUAUAAUAUUUCCUGUGUCUGGAUUACCCUUUUCAUAUGGUUAACUCUUACUUAUCUUUUAAUACUCUGCUUUUGACAUUAUAUUAAUAAAUUCCCCAACUACUUUAAAUGGAUCUUCUGUGGGAGGUAAUAGCAGGCUUCUUCCAAAGCACUGAGUUACAUUUUCCUAUGAUUUAAGGGAGGGACCAUACCUUUUAUUUUAUUUUAUUUUUUUUUAGUCCUCGACACUUAGGAAGGGCUCGGAUGGAUACUAGUAAUUUAAUUAAUUACUUGAUUAUCCAAUUAAUAUAGUAAAUAUUUAUGCACUAUUUAUAUCUAUGGUUUAAAUAUUUGCAAUUGAAGUUUAUAUACACAUAUAAAUAGCCCCUGUCACUCAACUGCUGCUGCAAAUCAAAGAGCAUGGGAUUUUCUCAUGCGUGGAAUUCAUAAGUUUAUUUUAGUCAAAGAAAUUUGAAGUAAGCCAUUUUCUUAUUAUAAUUUUUCCAUAAGUGCAAGAUUUAUAUAUUUUUUGUAGCUGCAGAAUGAUAAGAUAGUACUUAAUGAUUCAUAUUAUUGCUAUCUUAUGGUAUAAGAUUUAGGGGAUUAUCUGUGAAACUUUAUAUACAUUAAUUCACUGGCAUCACAUACUGAGUACUAACUUGGCUUAUUUCCCUAUCAUUUCUUCCCACCUCACAGUAGGCCCAGUCAGGUGGUUGCUGCAUUAACUUCUCCACAAAACUGCCUUUCAGAUAAAUCUCUCUUAAUACUGUCCUUACAUAUAAUUCUUUAUUUUCUAUGUAUUCAUUUGUAGUAAUUUUGUUUAUCACAUUUUCUUGCAUCUGGCAUUUAUUAAAAUUAUUUUGAGAAUAUAUUAAAUGUCAAGUAUGGUUCCAGGCACUUGGAAUAUGACAGUGAACCGCCACACUUCCCUUGCCCUCAAGAAUCUUAGCAUUUCAGGAGAAAGACCAAAUGAAGACCAGGGAAGCUUUUGUCCUUACCCUGUUUACCCCCUUCCAACCGUUUGCAAACCAAAAAUUUUGAUUUGCAUCUAAGAAAAUGAACAUUUCUGGCUUGUUCUCAAAUCUGCAGCUACAGGGGUCUUCUCCGUUUCAUCCAGAGUAUCUGCUUGGCCGCCACCAUGUCUGACAUCUAUUUUACUUCUUUUCAGUUGAGCUCUUUAUUUCAUUGAAGAAUGACAUUGAACCAUACAUUGUACCUUUCCUCUGGUAGUCUAUUCAGAAAAGUUAUAUUGUUGCUGGCAAAGGAAAUCAGCGUUAAACAAUUCACACCAUUUAAAAAAAUAUUUUAAGUUGACAGAAGGGAAGAAAAGUAGCUCUAAACUAAUGAAAAUCUAAAUUGUUCUGUAAUAAACGAAUUGAUGAUAGUUGAUCCUAUUUGGGAUAACAAGAUUAUAUAAUUUUAACUUAAGGGAAGUUAAUGAAUUAAUUAAUUAAUUGACUUGACCACUAACUUCUGGUUCUUUCACAAUUCAGGAAAAUGUCUCUCAUUAUAUAACUUGGCUUCUUUUGUUUAUGGGAAAUUUUUGUGUCCAAAAUUCCAUUCUAUGACUUAGGGAAUGUUUGAGAUCCCCUCUGGUAGUUCAAAUUGUGUUUCAAUGGCACAUCAAGAUAGUAAAACAUCUCGUCUUGUAAAUCAUUGCAAAAUUUGUGGCUAAUGGUCACAGAAGGGGCAAGAUAUAUUUGAAGUAUUGCAAAUCAGAUUCUCACAGUGUUCAAAAUGAAUCCUAAGAUUAUAAAGCCAUAGCACUACAUCAAACCUGAAUAACGAAAUAAAAUAUUUAUUGAAGAAUAGGAAAACCUACUCACUUUAACCGACAAGAUGUCUUUGUGUCAUUUUUUCUCCUUCAUCUUUUUCUUCUUUAUUCCAUCAUUCCUACCUGCUUAUUCUGGCUUGGUUUAAGAACGCAUAGAAGAGAAUAAUAAAGAAAAUAUGGUUUACUUCAUCUUUUCCAGUGUUGCUAUUGCAAACCAGAGCCAGAAAUGAUACUCCUCCUUGCUCAAUUUUCAAAAACAAAUCAUAACAUUAUAGAAAUUAUUAUCUAAAUGCUUAUUAUAUUACACAAUCUUAUAAGGAACUUAUUUAAUCCUUACAAGAGUCCCAUGAAUGAUCACAUUUUACAAAUGAGAAAAUUGAGGACUAGAUCACAUUAUAAUUUUUUCCAAGAUCAAAGCUAUAAUUGUAUUGUAACUAUGAAUUUACUAGUUGCAGGCUUUUACACUUCUGGUUUCAUAAAGGGGAUUAUACUCAAUAAACACAGCUACUUAAUACCCAACUACAAAAAUUCAGAGGUUAGAGGUUUUUGUGUUCCUGCAAAGUACGAGAUACUAUGUGCUGUGAUCAUCUCAAACAGAGCAAUAUUCCAAAGAACACUCAGUUUCAGAGCAGAGAGACGCGCAUUGAUUUUACGGCAAGGCAGAACAAACUAUGGGGAAAUAUAGAAGUCAUAGUCAUUUAUGAGAAAGGCACUUAGGAAGGUUUAUGGGCUCAAGUAAGGCUUCCUGGGGACAGUGACAUCAGAGCUAGGGUUUGAGGGAUGGGUAGGUAGUGAUGAGAAGAACAUGGAUUGGAUCAAAGAAGUGAAAGGUGACAUCCAGUCGUACUACAAUGCUAUUGUCACUUUUAAUCUUAUAAUGAGUACAAGGUCAAGGCAAUCACAAGAAAACAGAUAGAAACUGCCAUGUUUAGUUUUGCUUUGGAUUGACUGGAGAAGGGAAGAUUAAUUAAAUGGGGCACAUGCUUUUCUCUUUUUCUUCUUUUUUUUCUUUUUUCCCUGAUCCAACCCUUUGACUCUUAAAAUAUUGAAUAAUAUCCAACGAUGAAAUAUCCAAUGAUUAUUGUAGAGGUGAACACUCUUCCCUUGAGGAAAUAGCUUCCCUGUUGAUAGCUUUAUUCAAAAUCACAUAAUUUCACUCUGUGAAGGAAUAUAAUGCAGAGUUUAUAGGUCAGACUUAAAAAACCAGAAUGCUUGGAUUGAAAUCCUGACUUUAACUAUUGUCUUUUAGCAAGAAUCUUUACCUCUUUUUGCCUCUGUGUUCUCAUUUAUAAAAUGGGCAUACUACUAAUGCCUAAGAUGUAGAAUUUUGUAUUUAUGGAAUAAGAGAAACAUAAAAAGUACAAUGUCUAGUACAUUGUCAGCACUCAGUAAAUAUUAGCUUAUUGCUAUUCAAUUGCAAAACUACCUGGGACUCAACUCAAAUAUUCAAGCAAAUAGAAUCUUCAUCUAAACGGGUACAUGAAAGGUCUUGGAAACACAGAGGCAAUAGCUUGAUUUUGGAUAUGGCUUAUUUGGAGAUUAAUGUAAAUCCAAAGAAAAAUGUUCAAGAGAGUAUAGGCAACUCACACUCUAUCUGGGAUGUUAAGAGUUAGCAUUCCAACAGUGGAUAUGGCAGGAUGGUAGAGUUGUUCAGGCUAUGGCAGAAACCAUGGUCAGAACAAUGUUUGUGUAAUAACCAAGGGUGGUUGGCAGGGAUGGGCAUAAAUUUAGUGGGACCCUAACAGGAAUAAUAAGAAUAUAGGGAAGCCUCUUCUAGAAUAUUAAAUAGAUCAAGUCUCAGUAGGAACCAGAGCCAAAUUAGAUACAAAAGCAUCAUGUUGUACUAUUGACUGUGAAGUCACUAAAGGAUAUAGAAGUUUUCAUCCUAAUCAACACAAGGGUAUACAUUAUACCAUGAGGCCUGUGAGAACUCACAACUUAAUAAGAUAAAUGAAAAAUGAGUGUCUUGGAUUGGCUUGCUCACUCCAGGUAUACCAGUUGCCUUGGGUAAGAAAUAUACCUUCUAAUUCUCUGUUAUCUCAAAUAUAACACAAGCUUGGUAAUACAUAUUUUACAAGGUUGCUGUAAGGAUGAGAAAAGAUAAUGUAUUAAAAAUUAUGCAAAUUUUGAAAUGUAGUAACAGAAAUUUUGUUGUAGUUAUUGUAUUAUUUUUAUUCCUUUGUAUCUCUUCAGUGUUCGUUCUUAUUCUACAUGUCUCUUCAGAGGAGAAUCUUGUGAAGAUUUUCUAUGUUCUAAAGUGUUUUUUUCUUAAUAUAUCUGGGAACCCUCUUGUUUUUAACCUUACUUUACAUACAUUUUAUUGACUCCAGCAGAAUGUUUUUAACCCUCCAAAAAUCUUCUCUUACUUGGGAACUGUCAUCUCUACUGUAGAUAUCAUGCAGCUAUUUGAGAAGUAUUUAAAAACUUCAGUCUGAGUUAGAAGCACUGUUAGGUCAGUGUGCUUGUGUUGGGGAAAAAAAUUAAAAGCUGGGCACUGACUACUUAUUUUUCAUUUGGAAUUGCAAUGUCAGAAUCACUGUGGUAAGAGUUUGUUUUGCCUUAACUGAAUGAAGUCAUCUAUUCAUAUUCACCCAUUUAUAUUUACUAAGGUAAUUUUCACUUAUUUCAACUCAGAAGACCUUCCCUUCUUUUAAGCUCAACAAAAGAUUUUAAUUUACUUUGGAUCCUGCUGUCAUUAGAAAAUUUAUCUUUGAAUAAUAAGCAAUAUGCUAAUCAUGGAAGACUGUUCUUACAGGAUGAUCAUUUCAUGACCUCCAAGUUGAAAACUCACUUAAGCUAAAAGCAUUGAUGGUACAUUUUUAUUUAGUUGUUUUCCUCUGUAUAAAUACUUCACAACUAACAUCCUCUGGUGGAUGGCUUUAUUAAUAUACAACAUUGGUUCAGACACUUGAUUAAAUUCUACUGGCCUGAGGAUAAAAAUAAACCAUUGCCUUUCCACGAACCACAUUUACCUAUUUAUUCAGCGGCAACGGCACUCACACUUUUCUAAACAGCCUAUGGAGUAUUAUUUGUAAGCUAAACAUCAUGUUUAUAAAAUGUAGCCUUUACUUUUGAUUAUUGUCUGAAUUCUUGUUGGGAAAAAUUGAACAUUCUCAUUUGAUCUAUGCAUAUAAAGUCAUGACCAAUAUAAAUGUGAAGGAAGAAAUGUGCAUGGUUGACAUGUUACCACCCUCAAAAUAACAAAGAAUUAUAUUGAAACAGCAGGCUUUGACCUUUUCCCCCAAUUACAUACACAUUUUAUUUUUGGAUACAUAUCCCCAACUUGCUUUCCCAAAAGGCAGCUUUAAUUCACAUUCUCACCAGCAGAUUUUAUUAUGCUGGUUUCCGCAGAUUUUCAGCAGUGGGUGUUUUCAGUCUUUAAAACCUUUUCAAAUCUGAGUUAUGAACGAUAAAUCUCAAUGUUGCAUUUAUUUGUUUUUAAAGCAAAUAUUAUGAAUGAGACUAUGUAUUUACCACCAUGUUUAUUCAUUAAUAAGUUUUCUUACACUGUGAUUUCCUUACUUACAACUUUUGCCCAUUUUUCUUUAGGGGUGUUAGUCUCUUACCUAUCUUUUAUAUUAGGCCAUUUCUACACUUUAAUAGGUAAUUGUGUUUCAUAACUUAUUACAUGCUCAGCAGGAUUUCACUUUUAAAGCAAAAGGUCUGGUUAGGUAUGUGAUAGGUUCUUCAGAGUUACGAGUUCUUUACAAAGGAACAGGCUCAAAAUUCUGGCUUGAGACAUUUGAAAUAUUUUUUCCCAUAUGAAACAUAGUAAUAUAUGGUUAUAGGUCUCUCAUUGAUCAGGAAUUUUAAGUACUGUGACAGGAUUUUUUUUUUUUUGUAGUUUUUGUUUUUCUAAGUGCAGGUAUACACAAGUGGAUAAUUUAUAAUUUUUAGUUAAUGAAACUCAUCAUUGGUUCACACAUAGUCUAUUUUUAUUUAGAGAUUUAUUUACUUAUUGUUAAAAAUGCACUGAACAAUCAUGAAGUCACUCCUAUAAAUGAAAACUAGAACUUGACAAUUAUCUCUAAUUUUCUCCCUCCAUUCCAUUCACCUGCCUCUGACUACGCAAGGCAACCAGCACUUUAAAUACACUACUUCUCGUUUUUAUAUAGUCAUAUACCAAUAUGCAUCCUUAAAUGUAUAUUCUUUGGUUGUAGUUAUGUUUUAAAAAAAACUUUAGACAAAUUAAACAUAACAGAAUCGAUUAGAGCAAAGAACAAGCCAUGAAUUGAACAGUACUGAGAUCCAGAAGCAAUUUGGAGAGCUCUGCUCAGCAGUAUGAGGAGUGUGCUUUACUAGGCCAAAUACAGAAGCAAAUUAGAGAAACCACCUGAUUAGCUACAGGUGGGCAUCUGACCUUUUGAGCAUGGUGUAAUGAGCUGAUUGCUUGUGAUUGGAUGAAACACAGCUGCUUGUGAUAGGCUGAAACUUGGCUGUUUGUUAUCCUUCUAAAUUAGGUUUCAGUUUCUUACAUACUAAGUAAAUUAGUGAUAUGUUUUAGCUGUGUUUCCACUCAAAUCUCAUCUCAAAUUGUAAUCUCCAUAAUUCCCACCUGUGGAGGGAGGGCCCUUGCAGGAGGUGAUUGGAUCCUGGGGGGUGAUUUCCCAGAUGCUGUUCACCUGCUACUGAGUGAGUUCUCAGGAGAUCUGAUGGUUUUAUAAAUAGCAGUUUCCCUUAGGCUUAUCUCUUUCCUGCCACAUUGUGAAGAAGACGCUUGCUUCUUCUGCGCUUUCUGCCAUGUUUGUAAGUUUCCUGAGGCCUCCCUAGCCCUGCGGAACGGUCUUCCCAACCCCUGGGCCGUGGACUGGUACCAGUCCCCAGACUGUUGGGAACCAGGCCAUACAGAAGGUGAGCUGCAGGUAGUCACCACUUUCAACCAAUAGAUGGAGAGACUUUUACAGUGUGAUUUGAAGUGCACUGAGAGUGCCACCUCUCAAAAAUUCUAAACCAUGUGAUUCUUGUAUGUCAUUAAGGAAUGCUCCUAUAUUCAAAGGGUCUCACUCUGUUGCGAAGGCUGGUGUGCAAUGGCAUGAUCAGGGCUCAUCACAGUCUUGACCUUCUGGUCUCAAGCAAUCCUCCCAACACAGCCUCCUGUGAAAAUGAACAUUUCUGUUGUUGUUGUUUUGAUGUCUCAUCUGA